ACGCCAAACUCCGGCGCGCCGCGAGACUCGCGUCCUCGCUGUCCCCGAGGGGCCCCACCCCUUCCCGGUUCUAACCUGCGACCUGGCCAGAGGCAAGGUGAAUGGGAAGAUGGAGAUGGAUGUUGAGGGAGUUUCUCCGCGCCCGGAGCCCAUCCCCCGCUCCCAGGGGGCUGGCGGAGCCUGCCAGGCGCCGCCACAGCCGCCCCAGCCCCAGCCGCCGCCUCAGCAGCUGGCUCAGGAUGAACUGCCCGGCGAGAGUGCAGGCGCUGAGGACAGCGACGAUCCCGAGACGAGACCCAACGGCGAGAAAGGAGAGAGCAAGUAUUUCAGUGACAUCAUCCACUCAGGAGAGUUGGGGCGAGGCUGGCUGAGGUUCUCAAGGAGCUGAGUUUUGAGUUCAGGUGCUCGUGUAGCAGUGGAAUGAUGCCUCCUGACCUUUCAGACCUUUGAGACCUCUGGGCGGUCUUAGAAAUCACUUCAAGCCUCCAGUCCAGGAUACGACUGCCUAGGGGAAUUCCAGGGAAAGGUGGCAGAGAUGCCAUGGACUACAAGGUGAUGAAUACCACUAUGAGCUCACUACAAGAUCUCAAAGAUUUCAAGCCACUGGCUGUUACAAAGCAUAAAGCCACCCUUCUGGAGCAGCGGCGGGAGGCAGGCUGGGAGGAGGCCCCAAGUUUUGGCCAGACGAUAGACCACCUCCUUAGGUGUCCGGGGAGCUGCUGAAACAUAAUGAGGAAGAUGCUGCUGAUCCAAAGGAUAAAAACACAGAAACUAGAACCAAGAAGCACCUAAAGUGGACUCAUGCCCAGCAUCCCUGCAGACUGACUUUCUCUGAGCUAUAGUUCUGCAUUGGACUGUUUUUCCUUUGCUAUCACCUGCCCAACACACAAUCCUGGAUGCUUUUGAUUGGUUGGAUUUCUUUUUUUUUUUUCCUGCCUUUUCUUUUUCUUUCCUUGACCCUGGGAAUUAUAAACGAGAAAUUGCUUUAAAAAGUAUUGUUCUGUGCUAAAAUUAGCCUUGUUUAUGAACAAGUUUUAUCCCUAGGGAUUUCCUGAAUUGCAAUCCCAGAUUACCUUGUAAAUGGGGCUGUGUUGUUUGAUUUGUAUAGUACUGAUCUGUAGGUUAAAAUACGUUUCCUUUCUUUUGUUUCAUUCUUUUUUUAAAAGUCUGGAUCCAGGUAAUGGCCUGAGUCACAUUUGCUUAGCUACUGAAGCGAUCUCAAUAUGUUAUCGCUUAGAGUUGAAACAUAAUCAAACAUACGUUAUACCUGGGGCUCUUGCACACUAUUUGAUAUAUAUAUGUUACUCUACAAAGAAACACAAACCUUGUAUGUUGAAAUGUAAUUCCUGUUUGAUCCUGCAGCUAGAAUGCUAAAGAAAUUGCAAAUAUCAAAAGUGACUUCAAAUACCCUGAAUAUAAGCUAGUCAACAGUAAGUGGAUGGUUCCAGAAUACCAUAUUCUAAGACAAAGCAGGAAUUAGAGAUCAACUGACCUCAUCCAUAAUGUUGCUCAGGUCUGUCUGUGGAUCUGUCCAUUUUGGAGUAAAAAACAAGGCAUGCUUCUGUGAUUGUGUUUAUGAAAACUGUAGUAUUUCAGAUUUAUGUUUUGCAAUUGUGCCUGCCUUGCAAUAAAACACCUUCAGUUGACUCAGCAA